UCGGGUGUGGUGUACGGUGCACAUCGGCUUCAUAUACAAGUGUAUACAAUAAGUCGCAUAAGCUGAAAGCCAGGGUUCGACUCCCUGCAUCCGAC